GACGAACGCUGGCGGCGUGCUUAACACAUGCCAGUCGAACGGAAAGGCCCUGCUUUUGUGGGGUGCUCGAGUGGCGAACGGGUGAGUAACACGUGAGUAACCUGCCCUUGACUUUGGGAUAACUUCAGGAAACUGGGGCUAAUACCGGAUAGGAGCUCCUGCUGCAUGGUGGGGGUUGGAAAGUUUCGGCGGUUGGGGAUGGACUCGCGGCUUAUCAGCUUGUUGGUGGGGUAGUGGCUUAACAAUGCUUUGACGGGUAGCCGGCCUGAGAGGGUGACCGGCCACAUUGGGACUGAGGUACGGCCCAGACGGCAACGGGAGGCAGCGGUGGGGAAUAUUGCACAAUGGGCGGAAGCCUGAUGCAGCAAUGCCGGGUGGGGGAUGACGGCCUUCGGGUUGUAAACCGCUUUCGCCUGUGACGAAGCGUGAGUGACGGUAAUGGGUAAAGAAGCAACGGCUAACUACGUG
rnacentral:rRNA from 1 species